rnacentral:rRNA from 1 species
UACAGAGGUCCCAAGCGUUGUUCGGAUUCACUGGGCGUAAAGGGUGCGUAGGCGGUCGGGUAAGUCUGGCGUGAAAUCUCCGAGCCUAACUUGGAAACUGCGUUGGAUACUAUCCGGCUCGAGGAAUGGAGGGGAGACUGGAAUACUUGGUGUAGCAGUGAAAUGCGUAGAUAUCAAGUGGAACACCAGUGGCGAAGGCGAGUCUCUGGACAUUUCCUGACGCUGAGGCACGAAAGCCAGGGGAGCAAACGGG